rnacentral:rRNA from 1 species
GACGUAGGGCGCGAGCGUUGUCCGGAAUUAUUGGGCGUAAAGAGCUCGUAGGCGGUUUGUCGCGUCGGCUGUGAAAAUCCGGGGCUCAACCCCGGACUUGCAGUGGGUACGGGCAGACUAGAGUGUGGUAGGGGGAGACUGGAAUUCCUGGUGUAGCGGUGAAAUGCGCAGAUAUCAGGAGGAACACCGAUGGCGAAGGCAGGUCUCUGGGCCACUACUGACGCUGAGAAGCGAAAGCAUGGGGAGCGAACAGG